GGGUUCCCGGACCCCCGGGGCCGAGCUGGGCGCGGGAGACCCGCAGGGGCUGAGAGGCCGGCCGAGCCUGAAGAAGUGGAGGAGAGGUCUACACAACUUCAGUGGGGUGACCCCAUCCCUGCUGCUUGUUCACCCUCCUUUGCCCUCAACUGCAUCUCUGAGACAUCCUGCCCCCCGCCCCCCCAAAAAGAAGUCACUACAGGGCUCUGUCUGCAGAGAGCCAGGGUGAGAGCGGGCAAGGCAAGAGAGCGACCUCAGUCGUGGGCAAGUAGCUUGUUUUUACGUCCUUCAAUAAAAAUUUUAUGAGGAUCA